rnacentral:rRNA from 1 species
GAUGAACGCUGGCGGUGUGCCUAAUACAUGCAAGUCGAACGAACAGACGAGGAGCUUGCUCCUCUGACGUUACCGGCGGUCGGGUGAGUAACACGUGGAUAACCUACCUAUAAGAAUGGGAUAACUCCGGGAAACCGAAGCUAAUGCCGGAUAAUAUAUUCAACCGCAUGGUUCAAUCGAGAAAGACGGUUUUGCUGACAAUUAUAGAUGGAUCCGCGCCGCAUUAGCUAGUUGGUAAGUUAACGGCUUACCAAGGCGACGAUGCGUAGCCGACCUGAGAGGGUGAUCGGCCACACUGGAACGGAGACACGGUCCAGACUCCUACGGGAGGCAGCAGUAGGGAAUCUGCCGCAAUGGGCGAGAGCCUGACGGAGCAACGCCGCGUGAGUGAUGAAGAUCUUCGGAUCGUAAAACUCUGUUAUUAGGGAAGAACAAAUGUGUAAGUAACUAUGCACGUCUUGACGGUACCUAAUCAGAAAGCCACGGCUAACUACGUG